AAGCUUGUAACUCAGUUGGUAGAGUGUUUGCCUCAUGAGCAACAUUGUCGUUGGUUCGAGCCCAACCAGGCUUA
rnacentral:tRNA from 1 species